GGCAGCUGUCCUGAGCCAGGAGCUCCACCAUAUCGUGUCCCAUCCUGUUAAGGCAAUUUUGAGAGGCUGCUCUGGAAUAUGUCUCAAUGGUGGAUGUAGGGAAACUUCACAGGCUUUGAUGGGACUGAGGUGGUGUCUGUUGUGUGAAGACAGGAGCUGAAUGCUCAGGAUCUAGGCUGCUUUUCUUGUGGUCAGUUGGGUUACCUGUUUGGGACCAAGUCCAUGUUUACUAAGGAGGCUGAAUAAAUUCUACAGAGGAAAGUGGAGCUCCCAGGAUGACCGAGGAAGGAACCAGAGUCGAGCUCACAUGAGGGAAACUCCAAGAAAAGGAAAAUCGGUUCCAAGGACAGCUGCCAAGACAGAGCUGGUAGAAUUUUGCCUUUUUCCCCCAAAGGGAAAAUAAGCAGUUGACUUUUAUAGAGGGUUUGAGCAGCAAGGUGACUGAAAAAAUUUUUGAGAUCCUGGCACUCAGAGAAUAUUUGGGGACUCAGAAGGUGUUAAAUUUCACUUCAUUUAAGUACUAAUAUGGUCAGGAUGGAGGGGAAGAUUCAAAUGUUCACCUGAAGGUGCAUGGGAGGUUUUGGAAAUGAGGGUCGGUGGGAACUGUGCUGGCGAGUAUCUCACUCACAUGCUUCUUUUGCGGGGAUCUGUCCAGGAGAGGAGCACAGCUUGAUGUUGAAAAAGAAACUAAAGUCCUCCACUUUGCACAGCAAUAAACUCAAGGAGACCUGUGAUGCCCACCACAGAGGGCCUUUCAUGACUCACACUGGGUGCACCAAGCAGCACAGGUCUCAGACCCUAGGAGUUCAAUGGCUGUCAUUUCAGAAAAGCUUGGUGACUUUACAAGCUGUGUCAAGGCCAUUUAUCAAGACCUAUACUGGGUAUCGGUGCAGCAGGUCCAUUCUCCACUGACCUGGGAGCAGCUCACUCAGCUUGCCCGGUUCUGGCGGCCUCUAUGUGCUCAGGUGCAGACCUUCUAUUUUAUAGCCACCCAGGUAGGUUAUGUCUUCCCUGCUAAGAACUGGCUUGUUUCAGCCACAUUGCCUGGCCCUGGGGAUCCAGCCCUGGAUAGAGAAGCCCAUCCCUUGCCUGGGCAGGAGAUAACUGAGCCUGUCAGUGGGUCAGAUGAGGCUUGAGCUGGGUGCACCCUGACCCCAUUCAGCAGAAAUUGCAGGUCUUGGAAUGAGAGCAAGAACCUGCUAUAGGAAAGUAGCUUGAACAAUAUACUCAAAAUGGUGAACCCUGCAUUUCACAGAGGGCUAAGAUUAUAAACAAAUUUUAUGUUUCUUGUUAGACAUUUGAUGUCUUUCAGAUGUCUGGUGACAGUCAUGCAUUUCUAUAUAAUCAGACAAAUAUUAGGAUGUAAUCAUUCAUAUGCCUUUGCAAAUUUUAAAUUGUAGAAAAAUAAAUAAAAAGUUAUAUGUUUCUCUUUUAAUUCAGAAAAGGCUGUAGCCUCUAACUUUCCCACGCUGAGCCCAUGGAGGACUAAUAUCCACAAAUCUUUAAUUGUACUCCCUGUGGGAAAAUGUUAAUAUAUUUUUACAGUUUAAUAAAAUUAUGGUGAAAUCAC
ensembl:lncRNA novel transcript